CAUAUGGAUAGAAACAAUCAAUGAAGA
rnacentral:sRNA from 1 species